GUUUAGUAAGCUCUGUCAUCCAUUUUAGUACCUUUGGAUUGGCCGCAAUAUCACUGUAGGAGGGCUGAAAAAUUAAGGAACACUGACCCCUCUGUGCUCUGCGAGACCUUCCCAAAUACAUCUGGACUCCACUUGAAGGAGAUUACAUCUCAUUAAUUGCUCAUUGUUUGGAGGAUAUAAAUAAAUG